rnacentral:snoRNA from 1 species
UUAAAUGAUGAGAAACAGUCCUUAGUGACUUUUAUAUUUAUAUAAACCCAGCUCUUCGACUAAUCUGUUCGUGAGAAGAAAACUUGUCAAACGCUCUGAUU